GAUGAAGAACGUAGCGAAAUGCGAUAAGUAAUGUGAAUUGCAGAAUUCAGUGAAUCAUCGAAUCUUUGAACGCACAUUGCGCCCGCCAGUAUUCUGGCGGGCAUGCCUGUCCGAGCGUCAUUUCAACCAUCAAGCCCCGGGCUUGUGUUGGGGACCUGCGUCCGACGCAGGCCCUGAAAACCAGUGGCGGGCUCGCUGUCCACACCGAGCGUAGUAACUAACCUCGCUAUGGAGUGGCGCGGGCGCCUGCCGUAAACCCCCCAAUUUCACAAGGUUGACCUCGGAUCAGGUAGGAAUACCCGCUGAACUUAAGCAUAUCAAUAAGCGGAGGA
rnacentral:misc_RNA from 1 species